rnacentral:sRNA from 2 species
CUCUGCCACUUCCCGGAUUCCGCUUGAUCGAAGGCAGAGGCGGGGGACCCACCGUCCCGGGCACUGAUUGCCCUUGGGGUUAAGCCAGCACGUGAUUUUUCCGUGCGGCCGGAUGCCCUCAUCCGAACCCGACAGCUAACUCCGCAGGUGUGAGAGGCGAU